rnacentral:rRNA from 1 species
UACGUAGGUGGCAAGCGUUGUUCGGAAUUACUGGGCGUAAAGGGCUCGUAGGUGGCCAACUAAGUCGGACGUGAAAUCCCUCAGCUUAACUGGGGAACUGCGUCCGAUACUGGAUGGCUUGAGUUUGGGAGAGGGAUGCGGAAUUCCAGGUGUAGCGGUGAAAUGCGUAGAUAUCUGGAGGAACACCGGUGGCGAAGGCGGCAUCCUGGACCGGUAUUGACGCUGAGGCGCGAAAGCCAGGGGAGCAAACGGG